GUGACUGCGUACCUUUUGUAUAAUGGGUCAGCGACUUAUAUUCUGUAGCAAGGUUAACCGAAUAGGGGAGCCGGAGGGAAACCGAGUCUUAAUUGGGCGUUAAGUUGCAGGGUAUAGACCCGAAACCCGGUGAUCUAGCCAUGGGCAGGUUGAAGGUUGGGUAACACUAACUGGAGGACCGAACCGACUAAUGUUGAAAAAUUAGCGGAUGACCUGUGGCUGGGGGUGAAAGGCCAAUCAAACCGGGAGAUAGCUGGUUCUCCCCGAAAGCUAUUUAGGUAGCGCCUCGUGAAUUCAUCUCCGGGGGUAGAGCACUGUUUCGGCUAGGGGGCCAUCCCGGCUUACCAACCCGAUGCAAACUGCGAAUACCGGAGAAUGUUAUCACGGGAGACACACGGCGGGUGCUAACGUCCGUCGUGAAGAGGGAAACAACCCAGACCGCCAGCUAAGGUCCCAAAGUCAUGGUUAAGUGGGAAACGAUGUGGGAAGGCCCAGACAGCCAGGAUGUUGGCUUAGAAGCAGCCAUCAUUUAAAGAAAGCGUAAUAGCUCACUGGUCGAGUCGGCCUGCGCGGAAGAUGUAACGGGGCUAAACCAUGCACCGAAGCUGCGGCAGCGACACUCAGGUGUUGUUGGGUAGGGGAGCGUUCUGUAAGCCUGUGAAGGUGGCCUGUGAGGGUUGCUGGAGGUAUCAGAAGUGCGAAUGCUGACAUAAGUAACGAUAAAGCGGGUGAAAAGCCCGCUCGCCGGAAGACCAAGGGUUCCUGUCCAACGUUAAUCGGGGCAGGGUGAGUCGACCCCUAAGGCGAGGCCGAAAGGCGUAGUCGAUGGGAAACGGGUUAAUAUUCCCGUACUUGGUGUUACUGCGAAGGGGGGACGGAGAAGGCUAUGUUGGCCGGGCGACGGUUGUCCCGGUUUAAGCGUGUAGGUGUGUGUUCCAGGUAAAUCCGGUUCACUUUAACACUGAGGCGUGACGACGAGGCACUACGGUGCUGAAGCAACAAAUGCCCUGCUUCCAGGAAAAGCCUCUAAGCAUCAGGUAACACGAAAUCGUACCCCAAACCGACACAGGUGGUCAGGUAGAGAAUACCAAGGCGCUUGAGAGAACUCGGGUGAAGGAACUAGGCAAAAUGGUGCCGUAACUUCGGGAGAAGGCACGCUGACACGUAGGUGAAGUGAUUUACUCAUGGAGCUGAAGUCAGUCGAAGAUACCAGCUGGCUGCAACUGUUUAUUAAAAACACAGCACUGUGCAAACACGAAAGUGGACGUAUACGGUGUGACGCCUGCCCGGUGCCGGAAGGUUAAUUGAUGGGGUCAGCGCAAGCGAAGCUCCUGAUCGAAGCCCCGGUAAACGGCGGCCGUAACUAUAACGGUCCUAAGGUAGCGAAAUUCCUUGUCGGGUAAGUUCCGACCUGCACGAAUGGCGUAAUGAUGGCCAGGCUGUCUCCACCCGAGACUCAGUGAAAUUGAACUCGCUGUGAAGAUGCAGUGUACCCGCGGCAAGACGGAAAGACCCCGUGAACCUUUACUAUAGCUUGACACUGAACAUUGAGCCUUGAUGUGUAGGAUAGGUGGGAGGCUUUGAAGUGUGGACGCCAGUCUGCAUGGAGCCGACCUUGAAAUACCACCCUUUAAUGUUUGAUGUUCUAACGUGGACCCGUGAUCCGGGUUGCGGACAGUGUCUGGUGGGUAGUUUGACUGGGGCGGUCUCCUCCUAAAGAGUAACGGAGGAGCACGAAGGUUGGCUAAUCCUGGUCGGACAUCAGGAGGUUAGUGCAAUGGCAUAAGCCAGCUUGACUGCGAGCGUGACGGCGCGAGCAGGUGCGAAAGCAGGUCAUAGUGAUCCGGUGGUUCUGAAUGGAAGGGCCAUCGCUCAACGGAUAAAAGGUACUCCGGGGAUAACAGGCUGAUACCGCCCAAGAGUUCAUAUCGACGGCGGUGUUUGGCACCUCGAUGUCGGCUCAUCACAUCCUGGGGCUGAAGUAGGUCCCAAGGGUAUGGCUGUUCGCCAUUUAAAGUGGUACGCGAGCUGGGUUUAGAACGUCGUGAGACAGUUCGGUCCCUAUCUGCCGUGGGCGCUGGAGAACUGAGGGGGGCUGCUCCUAGUACGAGAGGACCGGAGUGGACGCAUCACUGGUGUUCGGGUUGUCAUGCCAAUGGCACUGCCCGGUAGCUAAAUGCGGAAGAGAUAAGUGCUGAAAGCAUCUAAGCACGAAACUUGCCCCGAGAUGAGUUCUCCCUGAGACUUUAGGUCUCCUGAAGGAACGUUGAAGACGACGACGUUGAUAGGCCGGGUGUGUAAGCGCAGCGAUGCGUUGAGCUAACCGGUACUAAUGAACCGUGAGGCUUAACCUUACAACGCCGAAG
rnacentral:rRNA from 1 species